rnacentral:rRNA from 1 species
CGAAAACGAAUUCUCUCUUGAGUGGAUCCUGAGUACGACGGAGCACGUGAAAUUCCGUCGGAAUCUGGGAGGACCAUCUCCUAAGGCUAAAUACUCUCUAGUGACCGAUAGUGAACCAGUACCGUGAGGGAAAGGUGAAAAGUACCCCGGAAGGGGAGUGAAAGAGAACUUGAAACCGUGUGCUUACAAGUAGUCAGAGCCCGUUAAUGGGUGAUGGCGUGCCUUUUGUAGAAUGAACCGGCGAGUUACGAUCUGAUGCAAGGUUAAGCAGAAAAUGUGGAGCCGUAGCGAAAGCGAGUCUGAAUAGGGCGAAUGAGUAUUUGGUCGUAGACCCGAAACCAGGUGAUCUACCCUUGGUCAGGUUGAAGUUCAGGUAACACUGAAUGGAGGACCGAACCGACUUACGUUGAAAAGUGAGCGGAUGAACUGAGGGUAGCGGAGAAAUUCCAAUCGAACUUGGAGAUAGCUGGUUCUCUCCGAAAUAGCUUUAGGGCUAGCCUCAAGUGAUGAUUAUUGGAGGUAGAGCACUGUUUGGACGAGGGGCCCCUCUCGGGUUACCGAAUUCAGACAAACUCCGAAUGCCAAAUAAUUUAACUUGGGAGUCAGAAUGUGGGUGAUAAGGUCCAUAUUCGAAAGGGAAACAGCCCAGACCACCAGCUAAGGUCCCAAAAUAUAU